UCGUUCUCAUUGGGGUGCUUUGUAAUGUAAGGCUGAGAAAUACCCAUAGAACCUGAUCUGACUAAUAUCAGCGUAGGGAUUUGAGACAGCAAUGACU
rnacentral:ncRNA from 2 species